rnacentral:rRNA from 1 species
AGUGAACGCUGGCGGUAGGCCUAACACAUGCAAGUCGAACGGCAGCACCGUAAGAGCUUGCUCUUACGGGUGGCGAGUGGCGGACGGGUGAGGAAUACAUCGGAAUCUACUUUUUCGUGGGGGAUAACGUAGGGAAACUUACGCUAAUACCGCAUACGACCUACGGGUGAAAGCAGGGGAUCUUCGGACCUUGCGCGAUUGAAUGAGCCGAUGUCGGAUUAGCUAGUUGGCGGGGUAAAGGCCCACCAAGGCGACGAUCCGUAGCUGGUCUGAGAGGAUGAUCAGCCACACUGGAACUGAGACACGGUCCAGACUCCUACGGGAGGCAGCAGUGGGGAAUAUUGGACAAAGGGCGCAAGCCUGAUCCAGCCAUACCGCGUGGGUGAAGAAGGCCUUCGGGUUGUAAAGCCCUUUUGUUGGGAAAGAAAAGCAGCAGGUUAAUACCCUGCUGUUCUGACGGUACCCAAAGAAUAAGCACCGGCUAACUUCGUG